rnacentral:rRNA from 1 species
UACGUAGGGUCCGAGCGUUAAUCGGAAUUACUGGGCGUAAAGCGUGCGCAGGCGGUUUUGUAAGCCAGAUGUGAAAGCCCCGGGCUUAACCUGGGAAUGGCAUUUGGGACUGCAAGGCUGGAGUACGGCAGAGGGAGGUGGAAUUCCAGGUGUAGCAGUGAAAUGCGUAGAGAUCGGGAGGAACACCAGAGGCGAAGGCGGCGACCUGGACAGGCACUGACACUCAACUGCGAAAGCGUGGGGAGCAAACAGG